UGGGGAAUAUUGGGCAAUGGGGGAAACCCUGACCCAGCAACGCCGCGUGAAGGAAGAAGGUUUUCGGAUUGUAAACUUCUGUCCUCAAGGAAGAAGGAAGUGACAGUACUUGAGGAGGAAGCCCCGGCUAACUACGUGCCAGCAGCCGCGGUAAUACGUAGGGGGCGAGCGUUGUCCGGAAUUACUGGGCGUAAAGGGUGCGUAGGCGGCCUGAAAAGUCGGAUGUGAAAGACCCGUGCUUAACAUGGGGGUUGCAUUCGAAACUUUCGGGCUUGAGUGCGGAAGAGGCAAGUGGAAUUCCCAGUGUAGCGGUGAAAUGCGUAGAUAUUGGGAGGAACACCAGUGGCGAAGGCGACUUGCUGGGCCGCAACUGACGCUGAGGCACGAAAGCGUGGGGAGCAAACAGG
rnacentral:rRNA from 1 species